AACGCGUGUCUUGUACGAAUUUUCCGGAUCGCCUUCCCCGUUUUAUCUAUUGGCCCGGAUCCGCCACCCUGCAUACCAAACAACACCAGGACCGGACGGGCAGUAAACGCCGACAAACGUCGCCAUUAGAUUUUAUAUUAUAAAGAAUCUGUCACCGCCGCUUUCUAGCGGUGGAUUGGGAUAAUCAUGAUAUCGGGAAUGUAGACAUUAUUAAAUAUGACCUCUCACCAGCCACCAUCGCUGCUGGAGAGCCCCGGUGGUUAAGGAGGAACACGUAAAUACGGGGGGG